CUUUAGGACCCAGGGGACCCAAGGGAGGGUAUAAAAGAGGAAGUAGCAGCAGGUGCUCUUCUUCUGUCAUUUGCACUGAUGAGCGGCUGUGAACAAUGGUUGUGUGAGUAGUAGUGAUUUUAGAAGACAAGCCAGGUGUGCAGCAAACACAGUUGUCUGCUGGAGGUAUGUUAACUUAAUAUAUUUGACAU